rnacentral:rRNA from 1 species
UACGUAGGGGCAAGCGUUAUACCGGAUUACUGGGUGGUAAAGGGUGGCGUAGCCGGAAAUAAAGUCAGAUGUGAAAGCCCGAGGCUCAACUUCGGGACUGCAUUUGAAACUCUAUUUCUAGAGUGCAGGAGAGGAAAGUGGAAUUCCUAGUGUAGCGGUGAAAUGCGUAGAUAUUAGGAGGAACACCAGUGGCGAAGGCGACUUUCUGGACUGUAACUGACGGUGAGGCACGAAAGCGUGGGGAGCAAACAGGAUUAGAUACCCCCGUAGU